AUUUGCGGCUACCAGCGUCCCCUGUGUCCCUGCGCUCUGAGCUGCCUGCCAGGUAGUCGAAGAGGACGAAGCCGUACGGUGCUGGCUCUGGGGUCUGGUGAGGGAGAGAGGCAGAGGAGGUGGGAGAGGCAGAGGAAGGAAUGUCCCCUCCAUGUUGUCCAGCAGCCAGCGCUUCUCCACCUCCUUCCUACAGCCCCCCACCACGUAGAAGAAGAGGUCGACGCUGCUCCUGUAGACAACCGUGAGUCCUUCCAGGCAGGCGAUCUCACCUGACAGGUGACACAGGGACACGGGAUUGUGCCAGAGGGGACACUGCUCCAAGCCCGGUGCCCCCACAGCAUCAAAUUCCUGAGUGGGACCCCCGCUCACCCCCCGCCCGCUGGCUCUGGCUGAAGAUGCUCCUCUCGAAGGCCGCCUGCUCCUUGGCUGUGGGGAAGGUCCCGUCGUAGUACUGGGGGGAUAUGGGGUUCAGGGCUGGCAGCACAACCACUGCGUGGGGUGGGGGGUGCUGGGGCCCCCAAAACCCCCACUGGGACCCCCCAAGGUCAGCACCAGGACCCCCUGAGAUCCCGCAGCUUAGCAGGGGGAGAUGCCUGAGCUGGGGUGUGCAGGGGGGGCCCUGGGCAGUGUGCCCUGGGGAAACUGAGGCGGGGGGCCGGGCUGCACCUUGGCC